rnacentral:lncRNA from 1 species
CUAUUGAUGAAAUCAUAAUUUUUCAUAAAAUAAGGAUCAGCAUAUGUGAUAUGAAAAAGCAUGUUUUAUUAUGAGCAUUGAUUUCAUGAAUAUGUCUUAUGAAAAUAGCAUGAUUAUGAAGCAUUAAUUUUAUUAUUUUUCCAUCUAUGUAUAUGUAUGCUUUAAGAAAAAGAUAUAAUGAUUUCAAAGGCUCUCAGAUGGCUAUGAAUGAAUUUCUUCGGGAAGGUCGAUAUCCGGAGCUAGCAUCCACACGAAACAUGACCCUGCCAACGGGUAUAAAGUUAGCACAUGAAUUAAGAACUCUGUCGAUUAAGAAACAUGGCCCUGUCAUGGGUAUAAUAGUGACCUUAGCACGAAUAUCUGUGAGCAAUAUUUUGAAACAU